rnacentral:misc_RNA from 1 species
AAAAUACGAUAAGUAGUAUAAAUUGCAGAAUUUAGUAAAUUAUUAAAUCUUUAAACGCAUAUUGCGCCCUUUAGUAUUCCUUAGGGCAUGCCUGUUCGAGCGUUAUCUAAACCUUUAAGCACUGCUUAGUGUUAGGUGCCUAUUCUGCCCCUGCGCGUAGACUUACCUUAAAUCUAUUAGCGGCCCUUACGUCGGCUUUGAGCGCAGCAGAAACGCGAACUUAAGGCCUAUUAGAGCGGCUCCUAGAAGCUAUAUUUACUAUUUUAACCUUAGAUUAGGUAGGGAUACCUGCUAAACUUAA